CCGGGACCUGGACCGGGACCUGGACCGGGACCUGGACCGGGACCUGGACCUGGACGGCUCGCCCCGCGGGCGCUCGGCAGCCGCUUUGACUAAAAUAGGACAAUGCCUCCAUAUGAUCUUGGAAAACCAAUCUUCCAAAGGUAAAGCUCAGCUCUGUGAUUGGAUUAAACUUGUGUCUUGUGCAUAAAGAAAGCACACCCCUCCCAGAGACAGCGAGACACAGAGAGGGAGAGAAAGACUAUUGCAGCACUGCUCCACCCUUCGUGAGGUUUCCCUCUGCAGUUG